CUUAGAGAGCUCUUUUAGGCAAGUCUAGGGUCAGAGUGGACCCCAGCCAGGUGCCUCCAAUUAGACCCUGGGAGCCACCUAUAACUAAGAGCUUGAUUGUCUCCCUAAAUGGGUGGGAAAGUGAAGCAGGAGCCACAUGGAGCCUCUUCCUGGAAAGUCUGCCUGCCAAGAGCCAAAGGGCUUUACCAUCCAUUGCCCCUGCAGUUCACGCAGGGCUGGCCCUAAGUCCUCUGGUUGUCGAGGGGUAAGUCCCCAGGGUCUGGGCCGGCUUCAGGGGACAGGAGUUCAGUGUCAGGCAACUCCAAGGCCUCUUUGGCUAAAGCUGUCUCUUCCCCCUCCUCUUCUUCCUCCUCAUCCUCUUCCUCUGCCUCCUCCAGAGUCAGUUCAAACUGGAAUCUGUCAGGCCCGUCCCGCUCGGGGUUGGUGAGGUCUGAGGGACUUCGGGGGAUCUUGCUCUGGUACCACUCUCGAUUGUCCUCCAGCGUGUCCAGCAGGUCCUGUGCAUCUGGGUGGACCAGUGUCUACCGGUUCAGCCCAGUCCCCUGCCAACCUGGGACUUCUCCACUGAGGCCGUAUGCUUGUCACACAUGGGACUGAUGUCCAGGCCCGACUCACGCUCGCGGUCUCCCUGCUGGAAGAACUCGGCCAUGAUGCGAGACAGGGUCUUGCUGUCACCCAGGCUGGAGUGCAGUGGUGCAAUCACGGUUCCCUGCAGCCUCAACCUCCUGGCCUCAAGUGAUCCUCCCAUCUCAGCCUCCUGAGUAGUUGGGAUUACAGGAACCAAAGCAGUGACUCAACAAAGCUCACCCAGGAAGGUCCGGGAGAUGUACUCGGACACCUGGUUCCCGGAGCGGCUGGUUUCGGACAGGUGGGUCAACUCCCGGUUCAGGAUCCGCUUGAACUGGGGCGGAGAGAAGGUGAAGACCGUGAUGAUGGGGCACCGUGGGCCGAGGCAGGUGAGCUCAGCGAUCUGCCCCACCUCACCUUGUUGGAGGCCAUCUCCCCCACCGAGUGCCGGGUCUGCAGCGUCUCCAACUGAUCCAGGCACCAGUCCAGCUCGUC
rnacentral:lncRNA from 1 species